UGAAGAAUAACACAACACUUAAGGUAUCAGCACAGUUAAAGGAAGGAGAUUCUUACUGGUGGAAGACAACUUCACCUAACUUAAUGCAGACAGAAAUCAAGAUGUUGAUUUUACAUAUCAAAUAUCCAGAAUUCCUAAACACUUUGUUGUAGAAUAAAAGCUGAAAUGCUAAGCAGAACUGGAUCUGAAAACUGUGCCAUGCCAUGCCACGUCAGCAAGUCAGCUACCUCUUUAUCCUGCCAUGGACCUAUUCAUCCCCAGUAGGCACCAUUUGAGAGAGCUA